UACAGGCAAAGGAGUUCCAGAAAACCUGUACAUACUCAAUGCAGUAGCCUUGCAUGGAAUCAACAGACUCGGACCUCAGUUCUGCAAUUUCCUGGAACAAAGUCUUGCCAGAUAGCUCUGACUGACCUGUACCUCAUGAGGCAGACAACGCUGGGCUCAGAAUCCUCAAGCUCUUUCUGCUUCAACCCUUUAGCCUUGCUCUGUAGCAGACUGCACACUGAAGCUGGGGAUGAAGUAAAAGUAAAGAUGAGAAGCCUCCACAGUGGAUCAUCCUCCUGCUACAGACGGCAGAUGAUCGACAUGUGAAAAAUAAUUCUUGCUGGGACUAAGUGCUAAAAAGAAAGUUACCCAAGUGGAGAGAAACGAAGAGUGACAGAGACAGAUUUACGGGGUUUCCUUUGGUAGAGUCCCUCUCAGAUGACUGUAUUAACAGCCACAGAACUGGGAACCCCCCAGCAGAGGGAUAUGGGCGUAGAAGGAACAGAGAGGAAACUGAGGCAGCUACAGGAAAGUCAUACAAAAUGAGGCACAAGAGGCUGGAAAGAGGUGGGAGCCAGGCUAUGAAGAAUUUUGUGGGUCUUUCUGGGGAGGGAGUUUUGGUUUUAUUCUCAGUGUGGUAGAAGAAAAACGAAGGAUUUAUGCAGAGGAAUGGUAGCACCUGAUGCCACCUUUACUGUUUGGUUUGAAGCCUGCUUUGAUGUAGCCCAGACUGGCUUCGAACUCCUGACUCUCCUAAGUGCUGGGGUUAUAGAUAUGCAUGACAAUGCCUGGUUUCUUGACUCCUUGUUGUUGUUGUUAAAACAUAUGUAUAAAACUUACCAUUUUAACUAA